rnacentral:rRNA from 1 species
AGAAUCAACGCUGGCGGCGUGCCUAACACAUGCAAGUCGAACGAGAAAGUGGAGCAAUCCAUGAGUAAAGUGGCGCACGGGUGAGUAACACGUGACUAACCUACCCUCGAGUGGGGAAUAACUUCGGGAAACCGAGGCUAAUACCGCAUAAAAACCUAAGGGUCAAAGGAGCAAUCCGUUUGAGGAGGGGGUCGCGGCAGAUUAGUUAGUUGGCGGGGUAAUGGCCCACCAAGACGAUGAUCUGUAUCCGGCCUGAGAGGGCGCACGGACACACUGGAACUGAAACACGGUCCAGACUCCUACGGGAGGCAGCAGUGGGGAAUUUUGCGCAAUGGGGGAAACCCUGACGCAGCAACGCCGCGUGGAGGAUGAAAUCCCUUGGGAUGUAAACUCCUUUCGAUCGGGAAGAUAAUGACGGUACCGGAAGAAGAAGCCCCGGCUAACUUCGCGCCAGCAGCCGC